GCUUGUGUGGCUCAGUGGCUGGAGCGUCAGUCCACACACCUGAAAGUCUCGGGUUCAAUUCCCGAUCAGGGGCA
rnacentral:tRNA from 1 species